AGUAUAUUCCACGGAAUUAACGGCGGCACCACGAAAUGCGCGGGGUUUGACGGUACCAGGCGAGGAAGCCCCGGCAAACUACGUGCCAGCAGCCGCGGUAAUACGUAAGGGGCGAGCGUUGUCCGGAAUUACUGGGCGUAAAGGGCGUGUAAGCGGCCUGUUAAGUCAGGGGUGAAAGACCGGGGCUCAACCCCGGGGGUGCCUCUGAAACUGGCGGGCUUGAGUGCUCUAGAGGGCAGUGGAAUUCCCGGUGUAGCAGUGAAAUGCGUAAAGAUCGGGAGGAACACCAGUGGCGAAGGCGGCUGCCUGGGGAGUCACUGACGCUGAAGCGCGAAAGCUAGGGGAGCAAACAGGAUUAAAUACCCUGGUAGUCCUAGCCGUAAACGAUGAGCGCUAUGUGUGAGGGGUAUCCACCCCCCUCCUGCCGUAGCUAACGCAUUAAGCGCUCCCCCUGGGGAAUACGGCCGCAAGGUUUAAACUCAAAUGAAUUGACGG
rnacentral:rRNA from 1 species